rnacentral:rRNA from 1 species
UGGCGGGGUGCCUAAUACAUUGCAAGUAGAACGCUGAAGAGAGGAGCUUGCUCUUCUUGGAUGAGUUGCGAACGGGUGAGUAACGCGUAGGUAACCUGCCUUGUAGCGGGGGAUAACUAUUGGAAACGAUAGCUAAUACCGCAUAACAAUGGAUGACACAUGUCAUUUAUUUGAAAGGGGCAAUUGCUCCACUACAAGAUGGACCUGCGUUGUAUUAGCUAGUAGGUGAGGUAAUGGCUCACCUAGGCGACGAUACAUAGCCGACCUGAGAGGGUGAUCGGCCACACUGGGACUGAGACACGGCCCAGACUCCUACGGGAGGCAGCAGUAGGGAAUCUUCGGCAAUGGGGGCAACCCUGACCGAGCAACGCCGCGUGAGUGAAGAAGGUUUUCGGAUCGUAAAGCUCUGUUGUAAGUCAAGAACGGGUGUGAGAGUGGAAAGUUCACACUGUGACGGUAGCUUACCAGAAAGGGACGGCUAACUACGUGCCAGCAGCCGCGGUAAUACGUAGGUCCCGAGCGUUGUCCGGAUUUAUUGGGCGUAAAGCGAGCGCAGGCGGUUUGAUAAGUCUGAAGUUAAAGGCUGUGGCUCAACCAUAGUUCGCUUUGGAAACUGUCAAACUUGAGUGCAGAAGGGGAGAGUGGAAUUCCAUGUGUAGCGGUGAAAUGCGUAGAUAUAUGGAGGAACACCGGUGGCGAAAGCGGCUCUCUGGUCUGUAACUGACGCUGAGGCUCGAAAGCGUGGGGAGCGAACAGGAUUAGAUACCCUGGUAGUCCACGCCGUAAACGAUGAGUGCUAGGUGUUGGAUCCUUUCCGGGAUUCAGUGCCGCAGCUAACGCAUUAAGCACUCCGCCUGGGGAGUACGACCGCAAGGUUGAAACUCAAAGGAAUUGACGGGGGCCCGCACAAGCGGUGGAGCAUGUGGUUUAAUUCGAAGCAACGCGAAGAACCUUACCAGGUCUUGACAUCCCGAUGCUAUUUCUAGAGAUAGAAAGUUACUUCGGUACAUCGGUGACAGGUGGUGCAUGGUUGUCGUCAGCUCGUGUCGUGAGAUGUUGGGUUAAGUCCCGCAACGAGCGCAACCCCUAUUGUUAGUUGCCAUCAUUCAGUUGGGCACUCUAGCGAGACUGCCGGUAAUAAACCGGAGGAAGGUGGGGAUGACGUCAAAUCAUCAUGCCCCUUAUGACCUGGGCUACACACGUGCUACAAUGGUUGGUACAACGAGUUGCGAGUCGGUGACGGCGAGCUAAUCUCUUAAAGCCAAUCUCAGUUCGGAUUGUAGGCUGCAACUCGCCUACAUGAAGUCGGAAUCGCUAGUAAUCGCGGAUCAGCACGCCGCGGUGAAUACGUUCCCGGGCCUUGUACACACCGCCCGUCACACCACGAGAGUUUGUAACACCCGAAGUCGGUGAGGUAACCUUUUGGAGCCAGCCGCCUAAGGUGGGACAGAUGAUUGGGGUGAAGUC